rnacentral:rRNA from 1 species
AGUGAACGCUGGCGGUAGGCCUAACACAUGCAAGUCGAACGGCAGCACAGUAAGAGCUUGCUCUUACGGGUGGCGAGUGGCGGACGGGUGAGGAAUACAUCGGAAUCUACUUUUUCGUGGGGGAUAACGUAGGGAAACUUACGCUAAUACCGCAUACGACCUACGGGUGAAAGCAGGGGAUCUUCGGACCUUGCGCGAUUGAAUGAGCCGAUGUCGGAUUAGCUAGUUGGCGGGGUAAAGGCCCACCAAGGCGACGAUCCGUAGCUGGUCUGAGAGGAUGAUCAGCCACACUGGAACUGAGACACGGUCCAGAUUCCUACGGGAGGCAGCAGUGGGGAAUAUUGGACAAUGGGCGCAAGCCUGAUCCAGCCAUACCGCGUGGGUGAAGAAGGCCUUCGGGUUGUAAAGCCCUUUUGUUGGGAAAGAAAAGCAGCAGGUUAAUACCCCGCUGUUCUGACGGUACCCAAAGAAUAAGCACCGGCUAACUUCGCG